UACAUGCUCCCCACGUAGGAUCUCUGUCCUUAAUGUGUUUUACUAUGAAACUUAAAAACAACACUACUAGUCGAACAAUAUCCUAUACCUUGUGCAGUUGUGUGAGUACAGCCUGUUGAAAUCCUUGCUUAGUAUAUACUAAGUUGAUCUUCAGUAUAUGAAGGGUGUCAACAGAGUCCUUGGAAGCCAAUGCUGAGCCAAUGCAGUGAAGCGGUCUUUGUCGCACAUCAGAAUCCUGGGUUUGAGCCCUGGCUCUGGCUCCUAACUACAACUUACUACAAAUGCAGAACCAGAGAGGCAGUGGUGAUGGCCCAAGAAAAUUAGGCUCCUGCCACCAAUGUGAGAGCCUCUUGGAUUGAGUCCUAGAUCCUAGCUUUGACCUCAGCUUAGCCUCAAUCAUUGCAGGUAUUUGGGGAGUGAAUCAGCACAGGAGAGCUCUGUCUCUCUUUCUAUCCCUCAAAUUAAAAACAGUGGAGAUGGGCUCCCCAUUAACAGUGACUGUGAAGAUCUCACUAAUCUAGUGGAACAGGGGCACCACAAUGAAGGCUGCUGAAUAUGCAUUGGUUGUUCAUACAGCAAUGGCCACCAACGUGGAAAAGAAAGUUUUGAAGGAGAGACACAGAAACCAAUUUCAGUGAGAAGUCCUGUCAAUGAGGCCAUGUCCAUUUCUGGCAUUUGCCAAGUUCAGUUCUGCCCACCUCUUGGCCUUUCCUUUCAGCAUUCACCCUGUUCCGCACCCCCAUCUCAACAGUUCCCUAAAUUCCUUGCACCAAAAGAAAGCAGAUAUGCAAGGUCAGAGGGUGAAGAACCUACAAGCAUCAACCUGAGUGGGAGAAUUUCAUGGCACCUGAAUGAAGGACAUACUUGGAGUUUUGGGGGCUUCUCCCACCCCUGGGGGAGGCCAGAGAUGAUGAAGAUUCCUCCAACCCAGACCUUAGAGCCCUCACUGUGUAGUCUGUUUGGCAAUCAUCAAUACAACACAAGGUACUUUCCCAAACAGCAUUGAUUACCUGAGAAAACUGUUUCCAAGCACUUGAUGAAGUCAGCUUGCCCGUUCCCGGCCGAUGCAUGGCAGCCAGGGUAUAAAUUUCUG